CAGCAGCCGCGGUAAUACGAAGGGGGCUAGCGUUGUUCGGAAUCACUGGGCGUAAAGGGUGCGUAGGCGGGCAUUUAAGUCAGGGGUGAAAUCCCGAGGCUCAACCUCGGAACUGCCCUUGAUACUGAAUGUCUUGAGUCCGGAAGAGGUGAGUGGAACUGCGAGUGUAGAGGUGAAAUUCGUAGAUAUUCGCAAGAACACCGGUGGCGAAGGCGGCUCACUGGUCCGGAACUGACGCUGAGGCACGACAGCGUGGGGAGCAAACAGGAUUAGAUACCCCCGUAGUCCCUGUCUCUUAUAC
rnacentral:rRNA from 1 species